rnacentral:rRNA from 1 species
CCUAGGGCGGCAGCAGUGAGGAAUAUUGGUCAAUGGGCGAGAGCCUGAACCAGCCAAGUCGCGUGAGGGAGUACUGCCCUAUGGGUUGUAAACCUCUUUUGUCGGGGAGCAAAAGCCGGACGUGUCCGGCUGUGAGAGUACCCGAAGAAAAAGCAUCGGCUAACUCCGUGCCAGCAGCCGCGGUAAUACGGAGGAUGCGAGCGUUAUCCGGAUUUAUUGGGUUUAAAGGGUGCGCAGGCGGAUUUUUAAGUCAGCGGUCAAAUCGUGGGGCUCAACCCCAUCCAGCCGUUGAAACUGGGGAUCUAGAGUGUGCGAGAGGUAUGCGGAAUGCGUGGUGUAGCGGUGAAAUGCUUAGAUAUCACGAAGAACCCCGAUUGCGAAGGCAGCUUACUAAACUGUGACUGACAUUGAUGCUCGAAAGUGUGGGUAUCAAACAGGAUUAGAUACCCGAGUAGUC